rnacentral:rRNA from 1 species
GUGCCAGCCGCCGCGGUAAUACCGGCAGCCCAAGUGAUGGCCGCUGUUAUUGGGCCUAAAGCGUCCGUAGCUGGCCGCGCAAGUCCGUCGGGAAAUCCGCCCGCUCAACGGGCGGCCGUCCGGCGGAACCUGUGUGGCUUGGGACCGGAAGGCGCGACGGGUACGUCCGGGGUAGGAGUGAAAUCCCGUAAUCCCGGACGGACUACCGACGGCGAAAGCACUCUGAGAAGACGGCUUCGACAGUGAGGGACGAAAGCCAGGGUCUCCAACCGGAUUAGAAACCCGGGUAGUCC